GACGAACGCUGGCGGCGUGCUUAACACAUGCAAGUCGAACGGAAAGACCCUGCUUUUGUGGGGUGCUCGAGUGGCGAACGGGUGAGUAACACGUGAGAAACCUGCCCUUGACUUUGGGAUAACUUCAGGAAACUGGGGCUAAUACCGGAUAGGAGCUCCUGCUGCAUGGUGGGGGUUGGAAAGUUUCGGCGGUUGGGGAUGGACUCGCGGCUUAUCAGCUUGCUGGUGGGGUAGUGGCUUACCAAGGCUUUGACGGGUAGCCGGCCUGAGAGGGUGAGCGGCCACAUUGGGACGGAGAUACGGCCCAGACGCCUACGGGAGGCAGCAGUGGGGAAUAUUGCACAAUGGGCGGAAGCCUGAUGCAGCAACGCCGCGUGCGGGAUGACGGCCUUCGGGUUGUAAACCGCUUUCGCCUGUGACGAAGCGUGAGUGACGGUAAUGGGUAAAGAAGCACCGGCUAACUACGUG
rnacentral:rRNA from 1 species